rnacentral:snoRNA from 1 species
UUCCCAAAUAAGCUCCUUCCGUGUUUAUUGAUCCAUGGGACGCUUAAAUGGAUGAUGGGAUUUCUCUUUAGCACCUCUUAUUUUUUCUAGAUGUUGUUUCAAUAGUACCUCACCAUAAACAU